AGGACACUUUUGAGAACAUGUAGAGCAGGCAGAAAGAAUCCAAGGUCUCCAAUAAUUAACAUACUUACUCCCACUUGCUAGACUGAGAGCUGUGCAGCCGGGGCCGGAGUCGAUGUAUCAUAUCUCCCUCUGCUGGGAGGCACCGCAAUCGCUCAGCCGCCUGUCGCCACCGGAGCUGCCUUCAGAAACAGCGAGGGCAACGCUCGCCUCAGGUCCCAACAAAUAGGAACUGACAGUAGGUCUCACCUUUUGUAUUUUUGCAGUGAAUUUCCAGGCAGAUAGAGAUUAAAAUGAUCACGUUU